rnacentral:piRNA from 1 species
UAGAAAAAUAGGAAGUGGAAUGGGUAAU